rnacentral:Y_RNA from 1 species
GGUUGGUCCGAGGGUAGUGGAGUUUACAACUAAUUGAUCACAACCAGUUAACAGAUUUCUUUGUUCCUUCUCCACUCCCAUUACUUCAUUUGAACAGCUGUCC